ACCAACAAAAGGAUGCUCAGGAGCAUCAAGGGUAGCAACAACAGUGGGUGCUUGGUGAACAAGAACAAACAUGUUUCAAAGGAAGCUCAGGAGCAUCAAGGGUAGCCUUGGCGUGAAUUAGCCGAAGUGAUAGCAUCCAAGGAAUCCAAAACUAGGUUCCUACAAAUUUAAUUGACAUCAUUCAUCAAGCUCUCCAAUCUGCUUGCCCUCCGAAGGUCUUUGGAUUUGGAAAAUUUUUUAGGAGUUCUAUCAUUUGGCAGAUAUGGUUAGAGCGCAAUAGGAGAACUUUUGAUGGGAUUUCUCUUUUUGAUGAUGAUAUUAAAGAUUGUAUUUUACAGUUUCUCUGGGACUGGUUUUUUGCGAUCA
rnacentral:lncRNA from 1 species